AUUGAACGCUGGCGGCAUGCUUUACACAUGCAAGUCGAACGGCAGCGCGGGCUUCGGCCUGGCGGCGAGUGGCGAACGGGUGAGUAAUGCAUCGGAACGUGCCCAGUUGUGGGGGAUAGCCCGGCGAAAGCCGGAUUAAUACCGCAUACGACCUGAGGGUGAAAGCGGGGGACCGAAAGGCCUCGCGCUAUUGGAGCGGCCGAUGUCGGAUUAGCUAGUUGGUGGGGUAAAGGCUUACCAAGGCGACGAUCCGUAGCUGGUCUGAGAAGACGACCAGCCACACUGGGACUGAGACACGGCCCAGACUCCUACGGGAGGCAGCAGUGGGGAAUUUUGGACAAUGGGGGCAAGCCUGAUCCAGCCAUGCCGCGUGCGGGAAGAAGGCCUUCGGGUUGUAAACCGCUUUUGUUCGGGAAGAAAUCCUCUGGGCUAAUACCCCGGGGGGAUGACGGUACCGGAAGAAUAAGCACCGGCUAACUACGUG
rnacentral:rRNA from 1 species